rnacentral:rRNA from 1 species
UACGGAGGGAGCAAGCGUUACUCGGAAUUAUUGGGCGUAAAGGGCGCGUAGGCGAUUUGAAAAGUCUUGUGUGAAAUCCCUCGGCUUAACCGGGGAACUGCGUCUGAUACUGGAUGGCUUGAGGUUGGGAGAGGGAUGCGGAAUUCCAGGUGUAGCGGUGAAAUGCGUAGAUAUCUGGAGGAACACCGGUGGCGAAGGCGGCAUCCUGGACCAAUUCUGACACUGAGGAGCGAAAGCCAGGGGAGCAAACGGG